GGAUUAGAUAGUUGGUGGGGUAACGGCCUACCAAGUCGACGAUCAGUAGCUGGUUUGAGAGGAUGAUCAGCAACACUGGGACUGAGACACGGCCCAGACUCCUACGGGAGGCAGCAGUGGGGAAUCUUAGACAAUGGGCGCAAGUGAUCUAGCCAUGCCGCGUGAGUGACGAAGGCCUUAGGGUCGUAAAGCUCUUUCGCCAGGGAUGAUAAUGACAGUACCUGGUAAAGAAACCCCGGCUAACUCCGUGCCAGCAGCCGCGGUAAUACGGAGGGGGUUAGCGUUGUUCGGAAUUACUGGGCGUAAAGCGCGCGUAGGGGAUUGGAAAGUUGGGGGUGAAAUCCCGGGGCUCAACCCCGAACUGCCUCCAAAACUAUCAGUCUAGAGUUCGAGAGAGGUGAGUGGAAUUCCAAGUGUAGAGGUGAAAUUCGUAGAUAUUCGGAGGAACACCAGUGGCGAAGGGGCUUACUGGCUCGAUACUGACGCUGAGGUGCGAAAGUGUGGGGAGCAAACAGGAUUAGAUACCCUGGUAGUCCACACCGUAAACGAUGAAUGCCAGUCGUCGGGUAGCAUGCUAUUCGGUGACACACCUAACGGAUUAAGCAUUCCGCCUGGGGAGUACGGUCGCAAGAUUAAAACUCAAAGGAAUUGACGGGGGCCC
rnacentral:rRNA from 1 species